UCAGGAGGGAACGUUCUUGUACUUUGUCGUUGUUUUUAUCGGUGCGGGUGCUCUUCUCGAUUAUUUCUGCAUAUCGCGUCUACGUGAAUCACAGAUUAACGUCGACGGACGGCUUGUAUACAAUAUUUCUCGCGUUGUGCACAAAUUGGUUGACAGGCUAAGAUCAAGAUGGCGAGCGAUGCAGCCUGUUGCCGUAUAUAUCGCGCUGAACAAGAAUGUAAAACGUACACAUACGCCCGCUUCAUAAAGCUGCACGCGACGGUGGCAUAAGAUCGCACGCUAUUGCCACGAGAGUUGAAACUUCGAGUCGUUGCCCUACUCCUCUGAUGAUACGGUGCUGCUGCUGCUGCUGGUGCAGUAACCGCACCAGAAUCAGCUGUUCCUGUCGCCGACGUUGUUCCGUGGCCAUUUUACCAAACUGCGGGGCCAGCGAGAGCCCCGCUGGCCGCUCUACUCGACGCUGACGACACCGGCGAUAAUAGCAACCCGCGCGCUCUCUUCCCUCCUCCUCCCGCUGGUCGUUGUCUUAACUGGUGGUCUCAGUGGCAGCAGCGUUGGCGACAGCAACGGUCGGCGUUAGUGGCGGCCGCCGUGGACGAACGACUUAUGGCUGGUAAUCGUGCUUUCUCCCCGAAGCGACAAGCACCGCCCCUUUUUUGCCAAUGGAAAAGGCGGGACGUCAUCAAGCGACUGAACAACGAUAGAUGGAUGUGUAUUUAUACAGAUAUGUACAACUCGCUUGGCUGGUAAGCUUGAGAAAGCGCCUCUUCGGAUCAUUGAGCAUAGGCCGUAGUGGUUAGCGGUGGCGACUACGUGGUACCAACUCACAACGGACGCUGCUGCUGCUGCUAGCUAUACAAAGCGUUUCAACUUACCCCGUCAUUAUAAAAUAUCAUAAGCAUUGCUGCAGGCAGUAGAUUUGUGGUGCCCGAAGCGAAAUUUCAGUACAAAUUCAGGCCCGAAGUAUCAGAAUCGUGAA